UACGAAGGGGGGCUAGCGUUGCUCGGAAUCACUGGGCGUAAAGGGUGCGUAGGCGGGUCUUUAAGUCAGGGGUGAAAUCCUGGAGCUCAACUCCAGAACUGCCUUUGAUACUGAAGAUCUUGAGUUCGGGAGAGGUGAGUGGAACUGCGAGUGUAGAGGUGAAAUUCGUAGAUAUUCGCAAGAACACCAGUGGCGAAGGCGGCUCACUGGCCCGGUACUGACGCUGAGGUGCGAAAGCGUGGGGAGCAAACAGGAUUAAGAAACCCG
rnacentral:rRNA from 1 species